CUGCGGCGGCAGUGGUGCCGCCUUGCUUCCCAGAGGGCAGUGCGCCGGUACCGGCAUGGCGGGACGGCGGCUGGGGGGCGGCUACUGGCAGCAAGUGGUCUUGCUGAGCCGGCGGUGCUGCUUGCAGGGCGGGAGGCGGCAGCGCUACCGGUGCUCUUCCAGUAGUACAGCUCUUGGGGAGACUGUGGACAAUUCAGAAGUUACUCGAGAAGAAAUUGUGCUCCCCCGAAAGAAAACCUGGGACAAGCUAGCUGUUCUUCAAACGUUGGCUUCUACCGUGAACAGGGAUCCUACUGCUGCUCAUUAUGUGUUCCAGGAUGACCCUUUCCUUAUGCCAAGAAAUGCAGCCAAUUCUCGUCUGUUUUUAUUGUCGAAGGAGUCUGGGAGAAAUGCUGCAAAAUACAUUAUUAAGCAAUUUCCUCAGUAUUUUGACAAGACCUUUGCGGAUCCCAACGUACUAUGCUUGAUGCCUGAGACUCUUACACCUCAGAUUGAAGGAGUGAGUGAGGAAGCUCUAAAAGAGCGUAUCCGCCUCAGAAUGGUGAAAGAUUCUGUGAACAUGUUCGAUCAGCUCAUACAAGCAGGCACCCCUGUAUCUCUGGAGACCACAAACAGCCUUUUAGAUUUGUUAUGCUUCUAUGGAGAUGGAGAAUCUACUCCAGGAAAAGAGGAGGAAGGCAAAGAGGAUUUGGAAGAACCAGGGGUGAGCACUUCAGAGCAGAAGGCUCCAAAGAGACAAUUCCAAAGAAGUUCACAGUCAUCUGGCUCUAGGUGGAGGGAAAACAACAAUGCUGAAAGGAUAUUUAAAAUAAUGCCAGAGAGGAAUGCACACUCCUAUUGCACGAUGAUCCGUGGGAUGGUGAAGCAUGGGGCUUCUGCUAAAGCUUAUGACAUGUACAUAGACUUGCUGAAUGAAAGACACAAAGCUGAUGUGCACACCUUCAAUGCACUGAUUACAGCAGUCCCAUAUCUAAAGGAGAGGUUCAUAGAAAGAUGGGAAUUAGCCAAGGUCUUCCUGAAUCACAUGGCUCAGCAGGAAGUACAACCAAAUCUGCUAACUUUUAAUGCUUUACUGAAGACUCUGAGAAGAUGUGGUGGUGUAGGCAGAAGUAUGUCUUUAUUGGUAAUAAAGGAAAUGGAAGCACUUGAUAUAGAGCCUAGCCUUGCAACGUAUGAUCAUCUCCUCUUUACAUUUUAUAGAGGCGUUGAUCUUUCCCCGUCUGGCAUCAUGUCUGAGGUGCUGGAUGACGUUGAGAAGAGGAGUUUCACUCCCCAGGACCCUGAUGAUGCCAACUUCUUUGCUACUGCUAUGCAAGUGUGCUGUGAUCUUAAGGAUAUUAAGCUUGCCUAUCGCUUAAAUAAGGCAAUGGAGAAGGGAGACAACUGGAAAUUCUUGGACAUGGAUCGGUUAAAUGUGUACUGGUCAAAAUUCUUCUCAUUGUUGUGUAUGAUGGAACAAAUCGAAAUUGUGUUGAAAUGGUACAAAGAAAUGUCCCCUUCGCUCUUCUAUCCAACUCCUAAAAAUAUAUUGGACCUCCUUCAAGCACUCGAUGCAGCCAACCACUUGGAAGCAAUCCCUUCGGUCUGGGAAGAUAUGAAACAGCUCGGGUUUAGCAGGAAACGUGACCUGUUGGAAGAGCUCCUGGCUUUGAUGAGCAGGGAGCAGCACCCUGAUGAGAUUCAGCUGGUGUUUGCCAAGUGUGCUGAAGACAUCAAAGCUGUCCAUGAGCAAACUGGGAGGGAGGCCCCACUGGAAUGGACAGGCAGUGCCCUGUGCCAUGUUGCUCUGUUGUUUUCCAGGGCUGGGAGAACCCAGGAUGCUUGGAACAUGAUGGAGCAUUUCCAGAAAAUCAAUAGGAUUCCCACUGACCAGGUGAUGGAUGAGUUCUUGAACUGUGCUAAAAAAACCAGCUGCCCAGAUGAGGCAGUUAAGUUGGUGAAGCUGGCGGCAUCCCUCGGUCUUCCUUCAACUGAGAGGCUUAAAAGCAGAACGGAGAAGGAAUUUGAACUGUCUGAAAAGCAGAACCGCUGUUGCUUGCUGCUGAGCUGCUGCAGCCAAGGGCAGAUGCUGGGCUUAGCCUUGAGGGACCACGGUUUGGAGGCAGUGGUGUGUCUGGAGGCAGUGGGGUGGUCCGAGUGAAUGAGUAACUAGAAGUCCAGCUCCCUUGGCAGCUGGCCCACAACUUCCUGGGGGACUGAACUCAUCUGCUUUUCCAGAAGGAGGAAGGCAUUGGAGAGUAUCAAGUCAGACAGCGACAGCAGCGAUAGUGACAGCGACAGUGACCACGACUAGCUGUCCCUGUUGCCGCCGCCUUGGGAAACCUGGGAGCAGCCGCUGCCUUGCCAAAGCUGCUGUGAGAAGUGGAAUUACCAGCGGGCUGGCUUCUGGGCGGUGCUGCGGGACAGCUAAGUGUGCCCGAGCGUUCUGAUGGACGUUGUCCUCGGAGCAAGCUACAAGCUGUCCUGUUCCAUUGUCUCGGUAACUUCCAAUGUGGCGUGGGCUACGCCAGCACCUGCAGGGGCUGACUCCUGCCGGGCAGCAGCGCCUGCUCCAGCAGCUUGGCCUGAGGCUCUGGAGGGCUGCAGUGAGAGCAGAGCUGCUCCCUGGAGGCUGCUCGGCCGGUACAAGACUUGGACAGCUUGAGCAAGACUUCUCUUGGACCUCCUGUGACUUAAGCCUGUGCCAGAUGUAAUUCCUUUCCAGCUAAUUUUAGUGAACUACUUACAUGCCAAGACGACUCUGAAGUAAACACUGCGAGUAAUGCCAUACUCAUUACCUGUGCUGUUACUUCUCGUCCUUUCUGGUGUUUUGGGACGGGCUUUUUGACUGUGGAUGUUAAAAAGCUACAGUUUGUCCAGCUGGUGGAGACUGCAUCUAAUAAAUGGCUGACAUUAAAGUGA